GAUGAAGAACGUAGCGAAAUGCGAUAAGUAAUGUGAAUUGCAGAAUUCAGUGAAUCAUCGAAUCUUUGAACGCACAUUGCGCCCCCUGGUAUUCCGGGGGGCAUGCCUGUUCGAGCGUCAUUUCACCACUCAAGCCUCGCUUGGUAUUGGGCAACGCGGUCCGCCGCGUGCCUCAAAUCGACCGGCUGGGUCUUCUGUCCCCUAAGCGUUGUGGAAACUAUCGCUAAAGGGUGUUCGGGAGGCUACGCCGUAAAACAACCCCAUUUCUAAGGUUGACCUCGGAUCAGGUAGGGAUACCCGCUGAACUUAAGCAUAUCAAUAAGCGGAGGA
rnacentral:misc_RNA from 1 species